CGCGCGAGGCCGGGGGGCGCCUGAGGGGCCGCGAUGGCGCCUGAGGCGAUGGGGCUGGAGCGGGAGCCGGGCUCGGAUCCCCGCGUCCUGCCCAAGGCGCAGGGGGAGCCGCGGCGAGUUCUCGUUGCAGGAUAUCUGGCUGUGCGCGUUGGCUUUCCUUGGGAUGCCCGUGGAAUAGCACUGGCAUCGAGCGACCUGUGAGCCGCACCCCACGCGAGUGUACAUCCACCUCAGAGUCGAGUUUGGCUUCCGUGCGGCCCAGAAAGAUCCUGUGUGAUUAGUACUUUAUCCAUCACCUGCCUCAAAGUCACUGCCCCAAAGUUGUGUUCCCUCUGAUUUUUAUCUGGUCUAUUAUGUUAGCCAGGGAGUGGUGUUUCCUUUUGUUAUUUGAGAUAGGAAUUCCGUAUCCACAAGUGCUCAUGUUUCUAGUUGCUCAAGUACCUUUUAUAUUCCACUGCUAUGAUCUUUUUCUUGGAUAAACACGUAGAUUUCACUAACACGUUCCAUUUCUAGAUUAGCAAUGAUAUUUUAGGUGCUACCACACCCAACAUCAAUCCUUGGCACAUGCUGAUGGAUACAACAAUACAAUACAAUGUAUUUUCUCUCUUCCAAUUGCCUUUCUGAUAGUCUUCUAGGAAAGGAAAAAUGCAUCUGUGCCUGAGAGCAUGUCCUGUUUUCCAACAGCAUCUUCUGCAACAGUAAAUAAAAUAAUUUCCCUGUAAAGUUCCCUUUCUGCAACUACUUUAGGUCAUCCAGAUUGCAAAAUGACUGUAUGGAAUACAAGGCACUGUUAAAUUAGCUCACUGCGUUAAAUAUGACAUUUUUGUUGUUCUUGUAUCCAUUUCUUUAAAUGGAUACAUUUUCCUCGGAUUACUUUUUGCUACAGUUUCUUCCAUUAUAUUGCAAGUGUAAAACGCCCACUAGCAAAGCCAUUUUAGCAGGUUCACUCUCCUAAGUUUUUCAGCAGCUUUUUGGUUUGGUGUUUCUUUGGAACGAUUUCCAUUAAAUUUUCCAGACUUUUGUCUUACACAUCUAGAUAUAGCUAGAUCAAUAGAUAGAUAGCCACAUUUUUCAAUUAUUUGUGGAGUCAUCUUCCAAGUAAUUUGAAUUACUUACUUCAGGAUUUGUAGAAGAUGUUUUUUUCUUGAACCAUUAGGAUGUUUUAACCAGAUGCUUUUUAAUUUUUUAACAGAUACCAUAUUAGCUUGUCUGUUUUCCUAAAUUUGUGAUUUGUUUAAAGGGAAUUGAAUAUCUGAUCCAUUCUUCUAAGAUUCAUACAGUAUCCUGGCACUACUUUGUUGUGUAGUUCUUUCUUAGCUGUUUAUUGAGAGGUUCUCACUAGAGAUUUAAGGGUUAAAACAUGUUGAAAGUCAGUGAGUUAACCUGGCAAUUAAAAAUCCAAUUUUCUGUUCA